UGAGAAAACUCACAUGGUAGGCCGGUUAGCUCAGUUGGUUAGAGCGUGGUGCUAAUAACGCCAAGGUCGCGGGUUCGAUCCCCGUACGGGCCAGUAUGCUUUUUGAUUGGGUUAGUGGUUUUGGUUGUUUGUUUUUGGGUUUGUUUUUUUUUAGGUUUUUUUUUUGGUUUUUUUUUUUUUUUGCCUUUAUUUUUUCUUGCCGUUUUAGCGCUCUCGGUCUCAAACCACUCCCGCCCAGGGACGGGUCCGGCCGUACCCACCCCGUAGCCAGGAUCGAGAGGACCGAAGUCACCUUGCCCCGUCCCGGCUAAGGCGCUCUCAGACAAUCGACGGCGGCAGGGAGGCAGGGAAAACAAAAAAAAAAAAAAAAGCCUCUCCUGCCGUGACUCGGAUUCGAACCGAGGUUGCUGCGGCCACAACGCAGAGUACUGACCACUAUACGAUCACGGCCGCCCAACGCCCGGCGCCACCGCCGCGGUCCCCUUCUACCAUCUUCCUCCAGCCAUAUUUCUCGUAGUAAGGGGAUCGAUGGGUAUCUCACCGGCGAAAAGUAAAGCGGCGAUGGCGCGGCAAAAAUGGCACAUCCGCCUCCCCGUCGGGGAUACUCACCACUAUACUAACGAGGAGCACACUCAACGGCUGGAGCCUGGUGUCAACCUGCAGGGCAUAAAGCGCCUGAAGGGAAAUGGCGGUGGUCCAGGUGCUGUCAGGGAGCUGUCCGCGCUGCCCGUGCGGGCACGAAGGGAGACCCCACCAAGGCUUUCGUAACUACCUGCGACCCGCGGCCUGCUGCGUUUGCCUUGCUCUCUGAGCUUGAACACGAGGUUUACGAAACCUCUGCCUGGUACAAAGGGCAUAGGAAAAUGCAAAUUUCUGAAGCUUCUUGCAUAAAGAACAAUACCAGAGGAGGCAAAGAACCCAGAUAAAGAAGCUCCUCAGUCUCCAAGCCUAUCAAGACUGACAGACGUACUCAGAUAAGCACCAAAGGACCAAAAGCGCACGCACAGAGGGGAAAAGUUCAAAAGUUCAGCCAUGAGGAAGACCACAAUCUUCAGCCUCAGGACCAUCGAGAGACCCCUGUACGACCACCACAGCAAACCACGCGUGCCCAGAAGGGCGUGGACUUAUUUAGCAUGAGAGGCGAGGACAGGCGGGGCCAGGGGUUGAAUAUGCAUGAAAAAGUUGUGCAAUGUAUGGCAUAUGGAACAUCUUUGGGAAUAAAGGAGUGGGUCAGACUGAGGCUCGGGGCACAAGUUUUGGAGAGCUAUCUCACUUGUGCUGGGCCCUGACAUACAUACCCACUUCAUAACUACCCCAAGUUAUGGAGUCUAUUUAUUUAUUCCGCUUAUCACUUCAAGGAACCCACAGAAAGCUGUCAUCAGAAGCUGGCGUUUUUAAGGCACGUUUGUGAACAGUUUCUGCCAUGUACAUGAAUCAUUUUGCUCCACCUGUUGCCGAAAGCAUCGGGAUAAAUCCAGCACUAUGUUUUAGUAUUAGAAAGUGGGCAUUGCUUUGUUCACAGCGCCGGCCUGCAUGGAUAUAGCUCUGCCUGCCUAGAUGCAGGGCCACUUUUAAAACUUUUCACUUAUUUAUACACUUUUAUCAAAUGAAGAAAUUAAUGUCCACUGGUUAUAAACGAUAUAAUUAUUUUCAUUAAACAGUAUUCUAUAUUC